AUGCGAGUCUUUGUAGCAAUACAAGGCAGACGGCUCAGUAACGCGUAGUCAACCUAACCUAUGGAUGGGAAUAACCUCGGGAAACUGAGAAUAAUGCCCAAUAGAACACUAUGCCUGGAAUGGUUUGUGCUCCAAAUGAUUUAUCGCCGUAGGAUGGGACUGCGGCCUAUCAGUUUGUUGGUGAGGUAAUGGCCCACCAAGACUAUUACAGGUACGGGCUCUGAGAGGAGUAGCCCGGAGAUGGGUACUGAGACACGGACCCAGGCCCUAUGGGGCGCAGCAGGCGAGAAAACUUUGCAAUGUGCGAAAGCACGACAAGGUUAAUCCGAGUGAUUUGUGCUAAACGAAUCUUUUGUUAGUCCUAGAAACACUAACGAAUAAGGGGUGGGCAAGUUCUGGUGUCAGCCGCCGCGGUAAAACCAGCACCUCAAGUGGUCAGGAUGAUUAUUGGGCCUAAAGCAUCCGUAGCCGGCUCUGUAAGUUUUCGGUUAAAUCUGUACGCUCAACGUACAGGCUGCCGGGAAUACUGCAGAGCUAGGGAGUGGGAGAGGUAGACGGUACUCGGUAGGAAGGGGUAAAAUCCUUUGAUCUAUUGAUGACCACCUGUGGCGAAGGCGGUCUACCAGAACACGUCCGACGGUGAGGGAUGAAAGCUGGGGGAGCAAACCGGAUUAGAUACCCGGGUAGUCCCAGCUGUAAACUAUGCAAACUCAGUGAUGCAUUGACUUGUGGUCAAUGCAGUGCUGCAGGGAAGCCGUUAAGUUUGCCGCCUGGGAAGUACGUACGCAAGUAUGAAACUUAAAGGAAUUGGCGGGGGAGCACCACAAGGGGUGAAGCCUGCGGUUCAAUUGGAGUCAACGCCGGAA
rnacentral:rRNA from 1 species